UACGAAGGGGGCUAGCGUUGCUCGGAAUCACUGGGCGUAAAGGGUGCGUAGGCGGGUUCUUAAGUCAGAGGUGAAAUCCUGGAGCUCAACUCCAGAACUGCCUUUGAUACUGAGAGUCUUGAGUUCGAGAGAGGUGAGUGGAACUGCGAGUGUAGAGGUGAAAUUCGUAGAUAUUCGCAAGAACACCAGUGGCGAAGGCGGCUCACUGGCCCGAUACUGACGCUGAUGCACGAAAGCGUGGGGAGCAAACAGG
rnacentral:rRNA from 1 species